GGCCAGUUAGCUCAGUUGGUAGAGUGUGGUGCUGACAACACCAAGGUCAAGGGUUCAGAUCCCUGUGCUGGCCA